GGGGCGGUGGCGGAACUGGCAGACGCCGCGGACUUAAAAUCCGCUGAGGGUGACCUCGUGCGGGUUCGAAUCCCGCCCGCCCCA
rnacentral:tRNA from 1 species